UACGUAGGGUGCGAGCGUUGUCCGGAAUUAUUGGGCGUAAAGAGCUUGUAGGCGGUUUGUCGCGUCUGCCGUGAAAAUUCGAGGCUCAACCUCGAACUUGCGGUGGGUACGGGCAGACUAGAGUGAUGUAGGGGAGACUGGAAUUCCUGGUGUAGCGGUGAAAUGCGCAGAUAUCAGGAGGAACACCGGUGGCGAAGGCGGAUCUCUGGGCCUUACCUGACGCUCAGGUGCGAAAGCUAGGGGAGCGAACAGG
rnacentral:rRNA from 1 species